GUAGGUGGCAAGCGUUAUCCGGAAUUAUUGGGCGUAAAGCGCGCGCAGGCGGUUUCUUAAGUCUGAUGUGAAAGCCCACGGCUCAACCGUGGAGGGUCAUUGGAAACUGGGGAACUUGAGUGCAGAAGAGAAAAGCGGAAUUCCACGUGUAGCGGUGAAAUGCGUAGAGAUGUGGAGGAACACCAGUGGCGAAGGCGGCUUUUUAGGUCUGUAACUGACGCUGAGGCGCGAAAGCGUGGGGAGCAAACAGGGAUUAGAUACCCUGGUAGUCCACGCCGUAAACGAUGAGUGCUAAGUGUUAGAGGGUUUCCGCCCCUUUAGUGCUGCAGCUAACGCAUUAAGCACUCCGCCUGGGGAUACGGUCGCAAGACUG
rnacentral:rRNA from 1 species